rnacentral:rRNA from 1 species
AUGAACGCUAGCGACAGGCCUAACACAUGCAAGUCAGGGGCAGCACAAGGAGCAAUCUGAGGUGGCGACCGGCGCACGGGUGAGUAACAUGUAUGCAACCUGCCUGUAAGCGGGGAAUAACCCGUUGAAAGACGGACUAAUACCGCAUAAUACUAAAUUACUGCAUGGUAAUUUAUUUAAACAUUUAUGGCUUACAGAUGGGCAUGCGCAUGAUUAGCUAGUUGGAGAGGUAACGGCUCCCCAAGGCAACGAUCAUUAGGGGUUCUGAGAGGAAGGUCCCUCACACUGGUACUGAGACACGGACCAGACUCCUACGGGAGGCAGCAGUGAGGAAUAUUGGUCAAUGGACGAGAGUCUGAACCAGCCAAGUCGCGUGCAGGAAGAAUGUCCUAUGGAUUGUAAACUGCUUUUGCAGGGGAAUAAAGUGCAUCACGUGUGAUGUUUUGUAUGUACUCUGCGAAUAAGGAUCGGCUAACUCCGUGCCAGCCGCCGC